GGACUACACGGGUUUCUAAUCCUGUUUGCUCCCCACGCUUUCGCGCCUCAGCGUCAGUAUCGGUCCAGAGAGCCGCCUUCGCCACCGGUGUUCUUCCCAAUAUCUACGAAUUUCACCUCUACACUGGGAAUUCCACUCUCCUCUCCCGAACUCAAGCUACCCCGUCCCAAGUGCAAUUCCUGGGUUGAGCCCAGGGCUUUCACACCUGACAAAGAUAGCCGCCUACGCGCCCUUUACGCCCAGUAAUUCCGAACAACGCUCGCCCCCUUCGUAUUACCGCGGCUGCUGGCAC
rnacentral:rRNA from 1 species